rnacentral:rRNA from 1 species
CCCCUACGGGACGCAGCAGUGAGGAAUAUUGGUCAAUGGCCGGAAGGCUGAACCAGCCAAGUCGCGUAAGGGAAUAAGGCCCUAUGGGUCGUAAACCUCUUUUGUCAGGGAGCAAAGGCGUCCACGAGUGGACGAAAGGAGAGUACCUGAAGAAAAAGCAUCGGCUAACUCCGUGCCAGCAGCCGCGGUAAUACGGAGGAUGCGAGCGUUAUCCGGAUUUAUUGGGUUUAAAGGGUGCGUAGGCGGUCGGAUAAGUUAGAGGUGAAAUCCCGAGGCUCAACUUCGGAAUUGCCUCUGAUACUGUU